GAUGAAGAACGUAGCGAAAUGCGAUAACUAAUGUGAAUUGCAGAAUUCCGUGAAUCAUUGAGUCUUUGAACGCACAUUGCACCCUCUGGUAUUCCGGGGGGCAUGCCUGUUCGAGCGUCAUUUCACCACUCAAGCCUCGCUUGGUAUUGGGCAACGCGGUCCGCCGCGUGCCUCAAAUCGACCGGCUGGGUCUUCUGUCCCCUAAGCGUUGUGGAAACUAUUCGCUAAAGGGUGUUCGGGAGGCUACGCCGUAAAACAACCCCAUUUCUAAGGUUGACCUCGGAUCAGGUAGGGAUACCCGCUGAACUUAAGCAUAUCAAUAAGCGGAGGA
rnacentral:misc_RNA from 1 species